rnacentral:rRNA from 1 species
ACAGUCACACAUUAGAUACCCGUGUAGUCCCAGCCGUAAACUAUGCGCGUUAGGUGUAUCGGUGACCACGAGUCACCGAGGUGCCGAAGGGAAACCGUGAAACGUGCCGCCUGGGAAGUACGGUCGCAAGGCUGAAACUUAAAGGAAUUGGCGGGGAGCACCACAACGGGUGGAGCCUGCGGUUUAAUUGGACUCAACGCCGGGAAGCUCACCGGAUAAGACAGCGGAAUGAUUGCCGGGCUGAAGACUCUGCAUGACUAGCUG